CGUGGGUAACCUGCCCAAGAGACUGGGAUAACACCUGGAAACAGAUGCUAAUACCGGAUAACAACACUAGACGCAUGUCUAGAGUUUAAAAGAUGGUUCUGCUAUCACUCUUGGAUGGACCUGCGGUGCAUUAGCUAGUUGGUAAGGUAACGGCUUACCAAGGCAACGAUGCAUAGCCGAGUUGAGAGACUGAUCGGCCACAUUGGGACUGAGACACGGCCCAAACUCCUACGGAAGGCAGCAG
rnacentral:rRNA from 1 species